CCCUUAGACGUUCUGGGCCGCACGCGCGCUACACUGACCAGUGCAACAAGUUUUGUCCUUGGCUGAUAGGCCUGGGUAAUCUUUGAACGUGAAUCGUGAUGGGGAUAGAUGAUUGCAAUUAUUCAUCUUCAACGAGGAAUUCCUAGUAAACGCAAGUCAUCAGCUUGCAUUGAUUACGUCCCUGCCCUUUGUACACACCGCCCGUCGCACCUACCGAUUGAAUGGUCCGGUGAAAUCUUCGGAUCUGAGAGAUGUCUGAUUAAUUUCGGACGCCUUUUGGAAAAGUUGCUUAAACCUUACCAUUUAGAGGAAGGUGAAGUCGUAACA
rnacentral:rRNA from 1 species